AUGAACGCUGGCGGCGUGCCUAAUACAUGCAAGUCGAGCGAACGGACGAGAAGCUUGCUUUUCUGAUGUUAGCGGCGGACGGGUGAGUAACACGUGGAUAACCUACCUAUAAGACUGGGAUAACUUCGGGAAACCGGAGCUAAUACCGGAUAAUAUUUUGAACCGCAUGGUUCAAAAGUGAAAGACGGUCUUGCUGUCACUUAUAGAUGGAUCCGCGCUGCAUUAGCUAGUUGGUAAGGUAACGGCUUACCAAGGCAACGAUGCAUAGCCGACCUGAGAGGGCGAUCGGCCACACUGGAACUGAGACACGGUCCAGACUCCUACGGGAGGCAGCAGUAGGGAAUCUUCCGCAAUGGGCGAAAGCCUGACGGAGCAACGCCGCGUGAGUGAUGAAGGUCUUCGGAUCGUAAAACUCUGUUAUUAGGGAAGAACAUAUGUGUAAGUAACUGUGCACAUCUUGACGGUACCUAAUCAGAAAGCCACGGCUAACUACGUG
rnacentral:rRNA from 1 species